UUUCGAUUAAAAGUUCACCACUUUUCGUGAAGGAAAUCGAAUUUUCUGUUUUUCGCGAGAUUUGUCAAGGAAAUCUUGUAAUAACAAAAUGUUUGCUCCCUUAGCUCGUAUUUCAAACAAACUUGGCAGGAAUGCCAUCACCACCAUGGUGAGGAACCACUCCCACGGUGGUGUCCCUGGCGAGAACCUGCCCUUCGACAUCUCCAACCGCUACAAGCUGACUGUCUACUUCAUUGCAUUCUUCGGCUCCGGUCUGGCUGCUCCUUACCUCAUCUGCCGUCACCAGCUUCUGAAGAAGUAAGGUUCUAGCAUCCACGUUGCCGCAUCAAAAUGUAUUAGGAUUAAGCUAGCAAACUGUAUAUUUUAAUCAUAAUUUAUGAUUUAAUAAAUUCCGUUUAGAGUUA